UUCGUAGGGGGCAAGCGUUGUCCGGAUUUAUUGGGCGUAAAGAGUGUGUAGGCGGUGCUCUAAGUUCGGUGUGAAAUCUCCUGGCUCAACUGGGAGGGUGCGCCGGAAACUGGAAUGCUUGAGCGUGGGAGAGGAAAGCGGAAUUCCUGGUGUAGCGGUGAAAUGCGUAGAUAUCAGGAGGAACACCAAUGGCGAAGGCAGCUCGCUGGGACGGUACUGACGCUGAGACGCGAAAGCGUGGGGAGCAAACAGG
rnacentral:rRNA from 1 species